GUCAUGUCACCUGCUGCCGCGUGACGUCACAGGCUGCAGCUUCGCGCGUGCAGUGAAAUCCGAGCCCAAGCCCGCCUGAGCUGCUGUACCGCUCUUGUUUACAGAAGCUACCUGCCCACAACACAAGCUGUCGCUUGGUCUGAUGGAGCAAAGGCACUCAGCACAGCUCGGUACGGCAAGGCAACAAUGCGACCAGCGUG